CCUACGGGUGGCAGCAGUGAGGAAUAUUGGUCAAUGGGCUUACGCCUGAACCAGCCAAGUCGCGUGAGGGAAGACUGCCCUAUGGGUUGUAAACCUCUUUUGUCAGGGAGCAACGCCGGCCACGUGUAGCCUGACUGAGAGUACCUGAAGAAAAAGCAUCGGCUAACUCCGGCCCAGCAGCCGCGGUAAUACGGAGGAUGAGAGCGUUAUCCGGAUUUAUUGGGUUUAAGGGGUGCGUAGGCGGAAUGACAAUUCAGGGGUAAAAUUGCGGGCCUCAACCUAGAUUGGAAGUGGAAACUGGAGUUGUUGAGAGGGCGAGAAGUAGGCGGAAUGCGGGGGG
rnacentral:rRNA from 1 species